rnacentral:rRNA from 1 species
GUGGGGAAUAUUGGACAAUGGGCGAAAGCCUGAUCCAGCCAUGCCGCGUGUGUGAAGAAGGCCUUCGGGUUGUAAAGCACUUUAAGCGAGGAGGAAAGGUUGAAGGUUAAUACCCUUUAGCUGUGACGUUACUCGCAGAAUAAGCACCGGCAAACUUCGUGCCAGCAGCCGCGGUAAUACGAAGGGUGCAAGCGUUAAUCGGAAUUACUGGGCGUAAAGCGCGCGUAGGUGGUUAAGUAAGCGAUCUGUGAAAGCCCCGGGCUCAACCUGGGAAUUGCAGGUCGAACUGCUUGGCUAGAGUAUGGUAGAGGGGUGUGGAAUUCCAGGUGUAGCAGUGAAAUGCGUAGAUAUCAGGAGGAACACCGAUGGCGAAGGCAGCCCCCUGGGCCUGUACUGACGCUCAUGCACGAAAGCGUGGGGAGCAAACAGGAUUAGAAACCCCGGUAGUCC